rnacentral:rRNA from 1 species
AGCGAACGCUAGCGGCGAGCCUAACACAUGCAAGUCGAGCGCGUGACUUCGGUCACGAGCGGCGGACGGGUGAGUAACACGUAGGUCAUCUACCCUCGGGUGGGGGAUAACUUGGGGAAACCCGAGCUAAUACCGCACGAGGCCUUCGGGUCAAAGCCCUCACGGGCGCCUGGGGAUGAGCCUGCGGUGCAUUACCUAGUUGGCGGGGUAACGGCCCACCAAGGGGACGAUGCAUAGCUGGUCUGAGAGGAUGAUCAGCCACACUGGGACUGAGACACGGCCCAGACUCCUACGGGAGGCAGCAGUGGGGAAUAUUGCGCAAUGGGGGAAACCCUGACGCAGCUACGCCGCGUGGGUGAUGAAGGCCUUCGGGUUGUAAAGCCCUGUCGGGAGGGACGAAUUCUUGACGGUACCUCCCAAGAAAGCACCGGCUAACCCUGUGCCAGCAGCCGCGGUAAUACAGGGGGUGCGAGCGUUGCUCGGAAUUACUGGGCGUAAAGCGUACGCAGGCUGUCUUGCAAGUCGGGUGUGAAAGCCCGGGGCUCAACCCCGGAAAUGCGCCCGAGACUGCCGGACUUGAAUGCGGGAGAGGAAAGCGGAAUUCCCGGUGUAGAGGUGAAAUUC